AGAGUUUGAUCAUGGCUCAGAGCGAACGCUGGCGGCAGGCUUAACACAUGCAAGUCGAGCGGGCGUAGCAAUACGUCAGCGGCAGACGGGUGAGUAACGCGUGGGAACGUACCUUUUGGUUCGGAACAACACAGGGAAACUUGUGCUAAUACCGGAUAAGCCCUUACGGGGAAAGAUUUAUCGCCGAAAGAUCGGCCCGCGUCUGAUUAGCUAGUUGGUGGGGUAAUGGCCCACCAAGGCGACGAUCAGUAGCUGGUCUGAGAGGAUGAUCAGCCACAUUGGGACUGAGACACGGCCCAAACUCCUACGGGAGGCAGCAGUGGGGAAUAUUGGACAAUGGGGGCAACCCUGAUCCAGCCAUGCCGCGUGAGUGAUGAAGGCCCUAGGGUUGUAAAGCUCUUUUGUGCGGGAAGAUAAUGACGGUACCGCAAGAAUAAGCCCCGGCUAACUUCGUGCCAGCAGCCGCGGUAAUACGAAGGGGGCUAGCGUUGCUCGGAAUCACUGGGCGUAAAGGGUGCGUAGGCGGGUCUUUAAGUCAGGGGUGAAAUCCUGGAGCUCAACUCCAGAACUGCCUUUGAUACUGAAGAUCUUGAGUUCGGGAGAGGUGAGUGGAACUGCGAGUGUAGAGGUGAAAUUCGUAGAUAUUCGCAAGAACACCAGUGGCGAAGGCGGCUCACUGGCCCGAUACUGACGCUGAGGCACGAAAGCGUGGGGAGCAAACAGGAUUAGAUACCCUGGUAGUCC
rnacentral:rRNA from 1 species